CGAAGGUGGCAAGCGUUGUUCGGAUUCACUGGGCGUACAGGGAGCGUAGGCGGUUGGGUAAGCCCUCCGUGAAAUCUCCGGGCCUAACCCGGAAAGUGCAGAGGGGACUGCUCGGCUUGAGGACGGGAGAGGAGCGCGGAAUUCCCGGUGUAGCGGUGAAAUGCGUACGAGAUCGGGAGGAAGGCCGGUGGCGAAGGCGGCGCUCUGGAACGUUUCUGACGCUGAGGCUCGAAAGCGUGGGGAGCAAACAGGAUUAGAUACCCUGGUAGUCCACGCCUUAAACUAUGGAUACUAAGUGUCGGCGGGUUACCGCCGGUGCCGCAGCUAACGCAUUAAGUAUCCCGCCUGGGAAGUACGGCCGCAAGGUUG
rnacentral:rRNA from 1 species